AACUUUCAACAACGGAUCUCUUGGUUCUCGCAUCGAUGAAGAACGCAGCGAAAUGCGAUAAGUAGUGUGAAUUGCAGAAUUCAGUGAAUCAUCGAAUCUUUGAACGCACAUUGCGCCCUCUGGUAUUCCGGGGGGCAUGCCUGUCCGAGCGUCGUC
rnacentral:rRNA from 7 species